AACGAACGCUGGCGGCAGGCCUAAAACAUGCAAGUCGGACGAACCUUCGGGUUAGUGGCGCACGGGUGAGUAACACGUGGGAACGUACCCUUUGGUGCGGAACAACGUCUGGAAACGGACGCUAAUACCGCAUAAUAUCUACGGAUCAAAGAUUUAUCGCCAAAGGAACGGCCCGCGUUAGAUUAGGUAGUUGGUAGGGUAAUGGCCUACCAAGCCUACGAUCUAUAGCUGGUUUGAGAGGAUGAUCAGCCACACUGGGACUGAGACACGGCCCAGACUCCUACGGGAGGCAGCAGUUAGGAAUAUUGGACAAUGGGGGAAACCCUGAUCCAGCCAUGCCGCGUGUGUGAAGAAGGCCUUAGGGUUGUAAGGCACUUUCAUCUGCGAAGAUAAUGACAGUAACAGAAGAAGAAGCUCCGGCUAAAUUCGUGCCAGCCGCCGCGGUAA
rnacentral:rRNA from 1 species